rnacentral:rRNA from 1 species
GACGAACGCUGGCGGCGUGCUUAACACAUGCAAGUCGAACGGUGAAGCGCUUGCCUUUUUGGUGGGUGUGGAUGAGUGGCGAACGGGUGAGUAACACGCGAGUAACCUGCCCUCUUCUUCUGGAUAACCUCAUGAAAGUGGGGCUAAUACGGGGUAUUCCGGGUCUGUCGCAUGGCGGGUUUGGGAAAGAUUGCGCCUUUGGGUGUUUUCGGUGGGGGAUGGGCUCGCGGCCUAUCAGCUUGUUGGUGGGGUGAUGGCCUACCAAGGCGGUGACGGGUAGCCGGCCUGAGAGGGUGGACGGCCACACUGGGACUGAGACACGGCCCAGACUCCUGCGGGAGGCAGCAGUGGGGAAUAUUGCACAAUGGGCGCAAGCCUGAUGCAGCGACGCCGCGUGAGGGAUGGAGGCCUUCGGGUUGUGAACCUCUUUCGCCAGUGAAGCAGGCCUGCUCCUGUGUGGGUGGGUUGACGGUAGCUGGAUAAGAAGCGCCGGCUAACUACGUG